rnacentral:lncRNA from 1 species
AUGUGUUUCAGUUUAUGGGAGUGCUACUAACUGUACGUUAUCGUAAUCAGAAAGAUCCUCGAGCUAAUCCCAGUGCUUUUCUCUAGUGCAACAACUCAAUGCAAAUGGUUAGUAGGUCUCGCAUGGACAAGACGCUACCGUAAUUUGCACGAUCCGGACGACCUGAGGGCAACAGCAGUUUUUCCAAGACACAACUUUACAUAUUGAAUCUAGUCAUUAUUCCUACAAUUUUAGUCAUUCUUCUAUAGCCAUAUAUACCAAAGAUUUAUUUUCUUUUUCUUUUCUAUAUAUGUGUAUUUAUAAUUGUAUGUAAUAUAUUAUA